rnacentral:rRNA from 1 species
GACGAACGCUGGCGGCGUGCCUAAUACAUGCAAGUCGAACGCAGUGGGGACGGGUGAGUAACACGUGGGUAACCUCCCAUCAGAGGGGAUAACACUUGGAAACAGGCGCUAAACCCAUAUGGAUGGAUGGACACGCGGUGCAUUAGCUAGUUGGGGGGGUAACGGCUCACCAAGGCGACGAUGCAUAGCCGACCUGAGAGGAUGAUCGGCCACACUGGGACUGAGACACGGCCCAGACUCCUACGGGAGGCAGCAGUAGGGAAUCUUCGGCAAUGGGCGAAAGUCUGACCGAGCAACGCCGCGUGAGUGAAGAAGGUUUUCGGAUCGUAAAGCUCUGUUGUUGGAGAAGCGGUAUCUAACCAGAAAGCCACGGCUAACUACGUGCCAGCAGCCGCGGUAAUUC